rnacentral:lncRNA from 1 species
AAACUCAAUUAAGCACACAUAUAGUAUAGUUUAGCAUUAAAGCACCUAAAUGUAUAGUAAGUAAUGCACUAAAAAUAUAUAAUUAUAGCCAAACAUCAAGAGCAUACACUCAUCUGAAAAUACUUGUACUUAUUUCUCAAAGGAGGGAUAUCGUUGACGAUUUGCAAUUCAAGUGUGCCUCUCUGCUUUCUAAGUGACAUGAACCAGAUGCAUGUAGAAGUUGGCAAUGACGAGGUAAUAUCCUUUACCAUCUACAAAUAUGGUCUUGUAUGCAAUGAAUUCAUUGAUUUUCUUGAUUAUUCAUUCCUAUAGGAUCAAUUGAAGAUGGGAGUUGUGGUUUGGGAUGCAUAGAUAAAAGUGUGGAGGCGAAAUGGUUCAAUACUUAUCCAAAUAUCAAAUCACGUAUAGUCUUAAGAAGAUAUUAUGGUAUUGCCCUUUACCAUAAAUCGCUGUUGCAAAUUUCUGAAACUCAAUUCAUUGAUACCCUCGGAAGUUACCUACCCUCGAAAGUGGAUCCGGCCCUAUUUUUGAUGGUUCACAUAUUAAUUAUUUUCAAUUUAGGUGAUGCCCGAAUUCCAUCAAUUCCUUCAAGGAUUGGCUUUCAGGAACACUGCCUGCAUCUUCAAUUCAUUGAGUAGGACUGUAGGAGUAAAGGAAAGUAUAGACCUUACAAAGAGCAUUUCAGUUCAAGCUUGCUGAGUCAUCCUAGGGCCUUGAUUGAAAAACACCAAAAACCUUGUUUUCACUUUCAUUACAUUCAAACAACCAAAUAUUCUUUGCAAAAACUAUAACCAAACACAACUCCAACUUCAUUUUUAUCAACGGUUGUGUUACAAAAAUGGUCGUUACUUAGCUUCCACCCUUUCAUAUUCAGCAUUUAGGAACAACAAUGAAUGCUAAAGAUUCACAUCCUACAUUUAUAAGGUCCUUCAACGUUUUUAACAUCAAUAUCCCAUAUUCUGGUGGCUAGCGCUGAUGAUAUUGUUAGCUUGAUGAAAAAUGUGCUAUGCAUUGCCAUACAUCUUUAUUCUAAAAAAGAAAGAAAGAAAGAAUAAAAUAAUAAUACUGUUGUAUUUUCUUUAAGUGGGAACUGGCUGCUUAAUUCUUUUUUUCAUACCGUAUAUGACUAAUAGUACGAAGCCAAUAAUAUAUGAGGUUAUUUUUAAGAACUAAGUUAUACUGUUGUUUUUCAGGUGGGGAUGUAUUUUUCUUUAUACGGUAUAUGGGGAUUUUAUGAAGCCAAUAAUCUAGGUUACUUUUGUUUACGUUUUUUUUUAAUUUAAUCGUUCGGUAUCCGAAACUCAAAUGCUGAUUAUGUAUUAUUAUAAGGGAAGAAGGAAGCUACACUGAAAUAUAAUUUUCCUACGAUGGAAAGAGUACGCGAGAGGUUAUUUUCUACUUCUUAAACUUCUAAUGAUUGUGGUCGGUUCACUUCAAGCCUCCAGCAAUAUUGUAGUUCUUUUUGUGUUUGAUAUAAUUGGGUAUAUGGAUUAGGUUUUACUUCUUUUUUUUUCUUUCAUUAUGUGCUGUCGUCCUUUUUACUUGUAUGGAAAAGAUCGUCCUUUUUACUUGUAUGGAAAAG